rnacentral:rRNA from 1 species
CGGUGUUCAACUGGCGUGCCCGCGGGACGUCCUGCCGGUGAGCUCAGCCCGCGAGGGCGGCUCAACUUGAAAUCCCAUCGCGGUGCUCUUCAUUGAGUGUCGAGGUGGGCCGGCACGAUUACUUUUGAACAAAUUAGAGUGCUUAAAGCAGGCUAAAAUUUUGCCUGAAUACUGUGUAUAUGGAAUAAUGGAAUAGGACCUCGGUUCUAUUUUGUUGGUUUUCGGAACCCCGAGGUAAUGAUUAAUAGGAACGGAUGGGGGCAUUCGUAUUGCGACGUUAGAGGUGAAAUUCUUGGAUCGUCGCAAGACGGACUAAAGCGAAAGCAUUUGCCAAAAACGCUUUCAUUGAUCAAGAACGAAAGUUAGAGGUUCGAAGGCGAUCAGAUACCGCCCUAGUUCUAACCAUAAACUAUGCCAGCUAGCGAUCCGCCGACGUCCCUCUGAUGACUCGGCGGGCAGCUUCCGGGAAACCAAAGCUUCUGGGUUCCGGGGGAAGUAUGGUUGCAAAGCUGAAACUUAAAGGAAUUGACGGAAGGGCACCACCAGGAGUGGAGCCUGCGGCUUAAUUUGACUCAACACGGGAAACCUCACCAGGCCCAGACACUGGAAGGAUUGACAGAUUGAGAGCUCUUUCUUGAUUCAGUGGGUGGUGGUGCAUGGCCGUUCUUAGUCGGUGGAGCGAUUUGUCAGGUUAAUUCCGAUAACGGACGAGACUCUGACCUGAUAACUAGACGCACUUGCGGCAUCUCAAAGGUCCGCCGGCGGCUGGCUUUGCGCCCGUCGUCGCGCGCGAUUUUUACUGCCGGCGUACAAUAAAUUCUUCUUAGAGGGACAAGUGG